GAAGCGAGCCCGAGCACACACAAGGCGCGCGCACCAGAGGCAUGCACACCGCGCUCCCUCCGGCUGCUCGCUCCAGCUCAGGCGGUGGAAGUAGCGGCAGCCCGGCUCUGCCUUUCCGCAGGGUGGGGAAGAAAGAGCGAGACGGACAGAGACCCAGCAAGCAGGCGAGCUUAGCAAUGGCCGGAGCCAGCAGGCAUUGACCACGGUCUUCCCCCCCCUUCCCCUUAGAGCUGCUGCUGGAGGAGGAGAGAGAGGAGGAGCAGCCUUAGCAUCUCUCUGGCUUUGUCGAAGGAGUCUGAGCUGCUGCCUCGCACAGGCAUGGUGCUAUUAUAGCGCGCAGCCUUGCCGCUCCGCUGCACUGAGCCAAUGGCAGGGAGCCACUAGCCGGGGAGCUGUCAGAGGAGUGCAUCUGUCACACGCCGCCUUCUCUCCUCCUCCUCCUCCUCCCCCCCACUCUCCUCCUCAGUUUCCCCCCUCCCCACCCUCACUCUUGGCUCAAGCCCUCCACAGAAGAGGGCAAUAACGGACAGAGGAGGAGGAGAAGCGAAGAGGGCGCCCCCGCUCCCCACAUCAGCUUCUUGCUGCCGUCGCCCAGAUACAAUGGACAAACAUUGAAUUCCAGUUGAGAAUGAACAAGGAGCUUGAGAGAUUCCCCUGGCUUCUCCUCUCUUUCUCACACCUCUAUGGAAGAAUGCUUUAUUUCCUCAAACCAUCAUUAUUGGCUUGCGGUAACCACAGGUGGGCUUUUUCACUGGUGGCAACAGUGUUGUAGAAUGCCCUCCCUGUUGAAAUGUGAUAGGCUCUAGCUGUAUGGAUAUUCCAGCAACUCCUGAAGACACAGCUGUCUAGGCAAGCAUUCCAUUGAACUUGAACUUCCUGACUGAAUUGCUUGCACUGCUCUUUUAACUGCUUUUAUUUUUAUUCUUUUUAAUCGCCUUGUUGUAUGGUAAAUUCUAAUUAUAUAUUUUUUAAAAGUUUGGAUGGAAUUGUUUCCAUCAUGUAUUUUAAUUAAGUAUGGCUUUUAUAAUUGAUUUUAUACUUGUAAACCACUUACAGAUUAUUUUGCCAUAUAUGUGGCAGAGGAAUUUGUUGAUAUCUGGGAGCUGAUUCAACUUAGACCUGCCUUUUAAUUCCCACAGUCAUUAUACCUCUCACUUUCUGCA